rnacentral:lncRNA from 1 species
CUGCGAUAAUCACUCCUUCUCCCUGCCAAAUUUUGUGCUGCACCAUGCAUGACAUUUCAAAUUAUUUGAUGGACUAAUUUGCAUUUUUCAAAUAGUUUCACAUGCCAAUUAAUUUCAGUCUAUGGUUAAUCUGCCCUUCCACAAGCAGCAUUAUGGAAAGACACUGAUAAACGUCAAACUUUGCCUGUUCUGAGUACAUCAGAGAGGGAGGCCAGGGCUGCUGGGGAACUGCAAAAUGGAAAACCUUCCUAGAGGAAAAAUAGAAAACUAAGAAAUGAGCUUUCUAAAAUCACCAAUCAAAAUGAAAAACAGCUUCAGCGAAGGAGGAUGAGAGCAGGUCACCUCACCUAAAUGAUACUGGAUGCCAUAACAUCACCAUAACAGUGAUCCCAAAGGAUUUAAUCAGAUUACAGAAAAGAAAUAUGAAUUGGGGAACGACAUCAGAUGGAGGACCAGUAUGGAGGUAUCAGACAGCGCUGAGAAACAGGAUCUGCUGGGUUGCUGGCCAGAGUUGGGCACAUGUGAAAAGUUUUAAGGUGCAACACUUAUCAUCCAGCAUAAACAGAACGAGACGACUGGAGAUAAAAGCAUCAUACAGCCAACCCAGGACAAUAAGCAGCCAUGAAAGCAAGGUGAAGAAUUGCUUAAUGCUGCUCCAGUGCUUGAAAUGGAAAAG